GAUGAACGCUGGCGGCGUGCCUAAUACAUGCAAGUCGAGCGAACAGACGAGGAGUUUGCGCCUCUGACGUGUGCCGCGCACGUGUGAGUAACAUGUGGAUAACCUACUUAUAAGACUGGGAUAUCUUCGGGAAACCGGAGCUAAUACCGGAUAAGAUAGUGAACCGCCUGGUGCAAUAGUGAGAGACGGCUGUGCUGUCACGUAUCGAUGGAUCCGCGCCGCAUUAGGGAGUGGGUAGGGUAACGGGGUUCCAAGGCGAGGAUGCGUAGCCGGCGGGAGCGGGUGAGAGGCCGCGCGGGAGCGGGGGCGCGGGCAAGGGGCCUGCGGGAGGCAGCAGGGGGGGAUGUGGGGCAAUGGGGGGAAGGCUGGCAGAGCAAGGCGGCGUGAGUGAUGAAGGUCUUCGGAUCGUAAAGCUCUGUUGUGAGGGAAGAACAGGUGUGUAAGUAAAUAUGCACGUAUUGACGGUACCUGAUCAGGAAGCAACGGCUAACUACGUG
rnacentral:rRNA from 1 species